rnacentral:rRNA from 1 species
UUCCGUAGGUGAACCUGCGGACCAGGAUCAUGUACGCUCGUGCUUGUGAGGCUUUGCCUGCCUAUCUCUUACCCAUGUCUUUUGAGUACCUUACGUUUCCUCGGUGGGUUCGCCCACCGAUUGGACAAAUUUAAACCCUUUGCAGUUGAAAUCAGCGUCUGAAAAAACUUAAUAGUUACAACUUUCAACAACGGAUCUCUUGGUUCUGGCAUCGAUGAAGAACGCAGCGAAAUGCGAUAAGUAGUGUGAAUUGCAGAAUUCAGUGAAUCAUCGAAUCUUUGAACGCACAUUGCGCCCCUUGGUAUUCCAUGGGGCAUGCCUGUUCGAGCGUCAUUUGUACCUUCAAGCUCUGCUUGGUGUUGGGUGUUUGUCUCCUGUAGACUCGCCUUAAAACAAUUGGCAGCCGGCGUAUUGAUUUCGGAGCGCAGUACAUCUCGCCGCUUUGCACUCAUAACGACGACAUCCAAAAGUACAUUUUUACACUCUUGACCUCGGAUCAGGUAGGGCUACCCGCUCGAUCUUUUCACGUUUUUCAAUAAGGCGGAGGAA